GACGAACGCUGGCGGCGUGCUUAACACAUGCAAGUCGAACGGAAAGGCCCUGCUUUUGUGGGGUGCUCGAGUGGCGAACGGGUGAGUAACACGUGAGUAACCUGCCCUUGACUUUGGGAUAACUUCAGGAAACUGGGGCUAAUACCGGAUAGGAGCUCCUGCUGCAUGGUGGGGGUUGGAAAGUUUCGGCGGUUGGGGAUGGACUCGCGGCUUAUCAGCUUGUUGGUGGGGUAGUGGCUUACCAAGGCUUUGACGGGUAGCCGGCCUGAGAGGGUGACCGGCCACAUUGGGACUGAGAUACGGCCCCGACUCCUACGGGAGGCAGCAGUGGGGAAUAUUGCACAAUGGGCGGAAGCCUGAUGCAGCAACGCCGCGUGCGGGAUGACGGCCUUCGGGUUGUAACCCGCUUUCGCCUGUGACGAAGCGUGAGUGACGGUAAUGGGUAAAGAAGCACCGGCUAACUACGUG
rnacentral:rRNA from 1 species